rnacentral:tRNA from 1 species
GGCGAUAUAGCUCAGUUGGCUAGAGCAUGCGGUUCAUACCCGCAGUGUCGUUGGUUCAAAUCCAACUAUCGCUACCA